rnacentral:rRNA from 1 species
CAGCCGCCGCGGUAAGACAGAGGGUGCAAACGUUGUUCGGAAUUACUGGGCGUAAAGCGUGUGUAGGCGGCUUCGCAAGUCGGAUGUGAAAGCCCCGGGCUCAACCCGGGAAGUGCACUCGAUACUGCGGAGCUAGAGUGUCGGAGAGGUUGGUGGAAUUCUCGGUGUAGAGGUGAAAUUCGUAGAUAUCGAGAGGAACACCGGUGGCGAAGGCGGCCAACUGGACGAACACUGACGCUGAGACACGAAAGCGUGGGGAGCAAACAGGAUUAGAUACCCCCGUAGUCCCUGUCUCUUAUAC